UCACUCGGGGAGCUUGUUCUCGGGGGACGAGUGUUGGACGGGUGAGUAAUGUCUGGGAAACUGCCUGAUGGAGGGGGAUAACUACUGGAAACGGUAGCUAAUACCGCAUAACGUCGCAAGACCAAAGAGGGGGACCUUCGGGCCUCUUGCCAUCAGAUGUGCCCAGAUGGGAUUAGCUAGUAGGUGGGGUAACGGCUCACCUAGGCGACGAUCCCUAGCUGGUCUGAGAGGAUGACCAGCCACACUGGAACUGAGACACGGUCCAGACUCCUACGGGAGGCAGCAGUGGGGAAUAUUGCACAAUGGGCGCAAGCCUGAUGCAGCCAUGCCGCGUGUAUGAAGAAGGCCUUCGGGUUGUAAAGUACUUUCAGCGGGGAGGAAGGCGAUAAGGUUAAUAACCUUGUCGAUUGACGUUACCCGCAGAAGAAGCACCGGCUAACUCCGUGCCAGCAGCCGCGGUAAUAUGGAGGGUGCAAGCGUUAAUCGGAAUUACUGGGCGUAAAGCGCACGCAGGCGGUCUGUCAAGUCGGAUGUGAAAUCCCCGGGCUCAACCUGGGAACUGCAUUCGAAACUGGCAGGCUAGAGUCUUGUAGAGGGGGGUAGAAUUCCAGGUGUAGCGGUGAAAUGCGUAGAGAUCUGGAGGAAUACCGGUGGCGAAGGCGGCCCCCUGGACAAAGACUGACGCUCAGGUGCGAAAGCGUGGGGAGCAAACAGGAUUAGAUACCCUGGUAGUCCACGCCGUAAACGAUGUCGACUUGGAGGUUGUGCCCUUGAGGCGUGGCUUCCGGAGCUAACGCGGUAAGUUUUUACCCUCGGGAGU
rnacentral:rRNA from 1 species